rnacentral:rRNA from 1 species
UAGGGAAUCUUCCGCAAUGGACGAAAGCCUGACCGAGCAACGCCGCGUGAGUGAUGAAGGCUUUCGGGUCGUAAAACUCUGUUGUUAGGGAAGAACAAGUACGAGAGUAACUGCUCGUACCUUGACGGUACCUAACCAGAAAGCCACGGCUAACUACGUG